GACGAACGCUGGCGGCGUGCUUAACACAUGCAAGUCGAGCGAGGCCCCUCCUUCGGGAGGGUGUCCUAGCGGCGAACGGGUGAGUAACACGUGGGCAAUCUGCCCCUAGCUCUGGGGAUAACCCCCGGGAAACCGGGGCUAAUACCGGAUACGACUUCAGAGGGCAUCCUCCGAAGUGGAAAGGGUUUACCGGCUAGGGAUGAGCCCGCGGCCUAUCAGCUUGUUGGUGGGGUGAUGGCCUACCAAGGCGACGACGGGAGCCGGCCUGAGAGGGCGACCGGCCACACUGGGACUGAGACACGGCCCAGACUCCUACGGGAGGCAGCAGUGGGGAAUCUUGCGCAAUGGGCGAAAGCCUGACGCAGCGACGCCGCGUGAGGGAUGACGGCCU
rnacentral:rRNA from 1 species